CACAAGCUCCUUAGAUGCACCCUUGGGACAUAUCUGUUCUACCUUGAUGGUAGAUCUCUUUGCAGGGUGUUGGGUGCUCCAGUGGGCUGGCAGGUAACAUUCAUCCACUUUAGAGGUUGUACAGUCAAAAGUGCUUGAGUCAUUGGCAUGUUAAAGUGACAUACCUGCACGGUAGCCCCUCUGUCUGAUGUGAAUGACCUGUUACUCCGGGCUGUUUCUCCAAUCAGGACUUCGCUGCUGUGUGGAUACU